rnacentral:rRNA from 1 species
UAGUUGGAUUUCGGAAUGGGCCAGUUGGUCCGCCUCACGGUGUGUUACUGGCUGGUCUGUUCUUCUUCGCAAAGACUGCGUGUGCUCUUUACCGAGUGUGCGUAGGAUUUACGACGUUUACUUUGAAAAAAUUAGAGUGUUCAAAGCAGGCCUACCGCUCGAAUACAUGAGCAUGGAAUAAUGGAAUAGGACUUUGGUCUUAUUUUGUUGGUUUCUAAGACCGAAGUAAUGAUUAAGAGGGACAGUUGGGGGCAUUCGUAUUUCGUUGUCAGAGGUGAAAUUCUUGGAUUUACGAAAGACGAACAACUGCGAAAGCAUUUGCCAAGAAUGUUUUCAUUAAUCAAGAACGAAAGUUAGAGGAUCGAAGACGAUCAGAUACCGUCCUAGUUCUAACCAUAAACGAUGUCAACUAGGGAUCAGUGGGCGAUACAUACGACCUCAUUGGCACCUUAAGGGAAACCAAAGUUUUUGGAUUCCGGGGGAAGUAUGGUUGCAAAGCUGAAACUUAAAGGAAUUGACGGAAGGGCACCACCAGGAGUGGAGCCUGCGGCUUAAUUUGACUC